GAUGAACGCUGGCGGCGUGCCUAAUACAUGCAAGUCGAGCGAAUGGAUUAAGAGCUUGCUCUUAUGAAGUUAGCGGCGGACGGGUGAGUAACACGUGGGUAACCUGCCCAUAAGACUGGGAUAACUCCGGGAAACCGGGGCUAAUACCGGAUAACAUUUUGAACCGCAUGGUUCGAAAUUGAAAGGCGGCUUCGGCUGUCACUUAUGGAUGGACCCGCGUCGCAUUAGCUAGUUGGUGAGGUAACGGCUCACCAAGGCAACGAUGCGAAGCCGACCUGAGAGGGUGAUCGGCCACACGGAGACUGAGACACGGCCCAGACUCCUACGGGAGGAAGCAGUAGGGAAUCUUCCGCAAUGGACGAAAGUCUGACGGAGCAACGCCGCGUGAGUGAUGAAGGCUUUCGGGUCGUAAAACUCUGUUGUUAGGGAAGAACAAGUGCUAGUUGAAUAAGCUGGCACCUUGACGGUACCUAACCAGAAAGCCACGGCUAACUACGUGCCAGCCGCCGCGGUAA
rnacentral:rRNA from 1 species